UCACCAUUGGCAACGGGUGAGUGUUCUUGUUCUCCAUUUUCUGUGGCAUCUGGUUCCUUGUUGGACUCUGUUGUUGUGUCGUCCUUAUCCUCUCGAGAAACUUCCACAUUAGUAACAGGGUUUGCUGCUUCAUUCUCCUUGGCUAACCGCAAUUUUUCCAGCAAUCUAGCAGUCGCUUCCUCUUCUGACUGCUUCUUUUUCUCAGGGGUAUUGUUAUUGUCCGAGUCUCGUGCCGCAUAAGAAGAUAAACGGUCCAUUAAACCUAUAACAAUUUUCUUCAUAUCAACAUGAGGGUUUAGUCUGGCAAUGGCGGAGAGUAGGAGAUCAAGAGUAUGUAAAUGGUAUUCAUCUGGGAAGACCUUCGUCAUUACUGUAGUAUAUAUCCGGUACUCCUGCGCCAAUACAUCACGGCAUUGUACAACCUGUUCCAAAAGAGGCUGGAGUAUUAUCGACUUAUAAGUUUCCAGAUCUACCAAUUGGCUCAGUCGCACCAAGUUACUUCCAACCAGGAGCUCCAGCUCUUUCCUCUCCUGUGUCCUGAUUUCUCGUUCCCUCGAAUGACCCUGGUGUUGUAGCCUCACCCAAAGUUUAUUCAUCUCCACGAAAUUAGUCAGAAUGAAACUAAUAGAAUCUUGUAUGUUGCCCUGCGGGCCAUCUUCGGUGCCGGUGGGUAGAUGAUCCUUGGCUUGGCCAGAUAGAUAAUAUCGCAGGAAUAAACCACGGAUUGGAUGUUGAACACCUCUGCUCAUUUCCAUCAUAUCCUUCAUGAUCUCCUUGACCGGCGCAUCCUCAAUGCCCAUAUAAACAGUUCCGACAGUAAUCAUAAGAUACAGGCGCGGGAUGAUAUUUCCAGCAUAUUGCACCAGCUCGUACAAAUCGGCGAGAUGAUUGACCGGGUGGUUCUCUUUGAGGUAGACGGAU
rnacentral:sRNA from 1 species